AUCAAUGGAAAUAAAUGGGGAGCACUAAAGUUCUUGAAGCUAAGCAGGGUUGAGCCUGGUCAGUACCUGGAUGGGAGACCUUCUGGGAAAACUAGGUUGCUGCUGGAA
rnacentral:rRNA from 1 species